rfam:Gossypium hirsutum cultivar TM-1 chromosome 9, whole genome shotgun sequence
AAUGUCAGUGUGCUUUGCUGACAUGGACACAAAUAGCGUCCACGUUAGCGCUAUUUGUGUCCACGUCAACAAAGCGCGCUGACGUGU